UGGGGAAUAUUGGACAAUGGGCGCAAGCCUGAUCCAGCCAUGCCGCGUGAGUGAUGAAGGCCUUAGGGUUGUAAAGCUCUUUCAGUAGGGAAGAUAAUGACGGUACCUACAGAAGAAGCCCCGGCUAACUUCGUGCCAGCAGCCGCGGUAAUACGAAGGGGGCUAGCGUUGUUCGGAUUUACUGGGCGUAAAGCGCACGUAGGCGGAUUGGUCAGUUAGAGGUGAAAUCCCGAAGCUCAACUUCGGAACUGCCUUUAAUACUGCCAGUCUAGAGUCCGGAAGAGGUAAGUGGAACUCCUAGUGUAGAGGUGGAAUUCGUAGAUAUUAGGAAGAACACCAGUGGCGAAGGCGGCUUACUGGUCCGGUACUGACGCUGAGGUGCGAAAGCGUGGGGAGCAAACA
rnacentral:rRNA from 1 species